GUGAGAAAAAGUAGUAAAUUAAGCAUAUCACGCAAGGACAAACAUUAAGUUAAGGCCUAGUUCCUAUUAUACUAGGAAUACUCAAUCCUACUUAUGCCUCUUAUUCUUCUUUUCUCAG
ensembl:ncRNA mir-4915 mir-4915 stem loop